rnacentral:rRNA from 1 species
GAUGAACGCUGGCGGCGUGCUUAACACAUGCAAGUCGAACGGGAAACCCAUUAUUGAAACUUCGGUUGAUUUAAUUUGUUUCUAGUGGCGGACGGGUGAGUAACGCGUGGGUAACCUGCCCUAUACAGGGGGAUAACAACCAGAAAUGGUUGCUAAUACCGCAUAAGCGCACAGGACCGCAUGGUCCAGUGUGAAAAACUCCGGUGGUAUAGGAUGGACCCGCGUUGGAUUAGCUAGUUGGUGGGGUAACGGCCCACCAAGGCAACGAUCCAUAGCCGGCCUGAGGGGGUGAACGGCCACAUUGGGACUGAGACACGGCCCAGACUCCUACGGGAGGCAGCAGUGGGGAAUAUUGCACAAUGGGGGAAACCCUGAUGCAGCGACGCCGCGUGAAGGAAGAAGUAUCUCGGUAUGUAAACUUCUAUCAGCAGGGAAGAU